rnacentral:rRNA from 1 species
AGAGUUUGAUUAUGGCUCAGAUUGAACGCUGGCGGCAGGCCUAACACAUGCAAGUCGAGCGGUAGAGAGGUGCUUGCACCUCUUGAGAGCGGCGGACGGGUGAGUAAUGCCUAGGAAUCUGCCUGGUAGUGGGGGAUAACGCUCGGAAACGGACGCUAAUACCGCAUACGUCCUACGGGAGAAAGCAGGGGACCUUCGGGCCUUGCGCUAUCAGAUGAGCCUAGGUCGGAUUAGCUAGUUGGUGGGGUAAUGGCUCACCAAGGCGACGAUCCGUAACUGGUCUGAGAGGAUGAUCAGUCACACUGGAACUGAGACACGGUCCAGACUCCUACGGGAGGCAGCAGUGGGGAAUAUUGGACAAUGGGCGAAAGCCUGAUCCAGCCAUGCCGCGUGUGUGAAGAAGGUCUUCGGAUUGUAAAGCACUUUAAGUUGGGAGGAAGGGCAUUAACCUAAUACGUUAGUGUUUUGACGUUACCGACAGAAUAAGCACCGGCUAACUCUGUGCCAGCAGCCGCGGUAAUACAGAGGGUGCAAGCGUUAAUCGGAAUUACUGGGCGUAAAGCGCGCGUAGGUGGUUCGUUAAGUUGGAUGUGAAAUCCCCGGGCUCAACCUGGGAACUGCAUUCAAAACUGUCGAGCUAGAGUAUGGUAGAGGGUGGUGGAAUUUCCUGUGUAGCGGUGAAAUGCGUAGAUAUAGGAAGGAACACCAGUGGCGAAGGCGACCACCUGGACUGAUACUGACACUGAGGUGCGAAAGCGUGGGGAGCAAACAGGAUUAGAUACCCUGGUAGUCCACGCCGUAAACGAUGUCAACUAGCCGUUGGGAGCCUUGAGCUCUUAGUGGCGCAGCUAACGCAUUAAGUUGACCGCCUGGGGAGUACGGCCGCAAGGUUAAAACUCAAAUGAAUUGACGGGGGCCCGCACAAGCGGUGGAGCAUGUGGUUUAAUUCG